UUAAUUAUUUAUUUACUAUUAUUUGUUAUUGCGUUUUAAUUAAUUGAAUCAUCAUGUGUUUUAGUAUUGUUAUAGAAUUAAUUAUUUUAGUUAUAGUUGAUUUGUACUGUGAGGGAUUAUUUUUAUUUUGAUUUAAGUAUAAUUAUUUAGUACCUUUUGCAUCAGGGCUUAUUAAAUUUAAUUAUUUAUUAUAAUUUUCCCGAAAUCAAGUUAGAUAAAUGAUAAUGUUGGUUUUUGUUAUAAAACAAUCUAUAAUUGUUAUUUAGUAGUGAUAUGCUAUUCAACCUUGAAUAUCUGGUUCUUUUAGAAUUAUAUUUAAUAUAGGAUUAUUGAAUGUUUUAAGAAUUUAAUUUAUUAAUAAUCUUAAUCUGUUGGGGAUUAGCUCGAUAGAUUUUAUAUAACUGAUUUUAAUUAAAUGUGAGUGUAGUAGGCUUGAUAAUUGUCAUUUAAGUUGUUAUAAUUGUUCUUGUAUUAGUUUUUAUUUUGUAUAGUUUAUAUUUUUAUAAAAGUUAGGUUUUUAAUUGUUUAUUACUUGUAAUUAUGAUAGGAUUAGUAGUUUUGUAAAUUAAAUUAUAGUAAUUCGGCAAAUAUAACCUCCGCCUGUUUAACAAAAACAUGGUCUAUUGUGUAUUUAUUUUAGAUCUGGCCUGCCCAAUGAUUAUUUAUUUAAUGGCCGCAGUAUAUUGACUGUGCAAAGGUAGCAUAAUAAUUUGUCUUUUAAUUGGAGGCUUGUAUGAAUGGUUGGACGAGAGGUUUUCUUUCUUUAAUUUAAUUAAUUAAUUUAACUUUUAAGUUAAAAGGCUUAAAUGAUUUUGAUGGACGAGAAGACCCUAUAGAAUUUUAUAUUAAUAAUGUUAUUGAGAUUAUUUUUUUUAUUAAUUAUUUUGAUUAAUAUUUUGUUGGGGUGACAAGGUAAUUUCAUUAACUUACCUUUAUUGAAUUUCAUUAAUUUAUGUAUAGUUGAUCCUUUAUUAUGGGUUAUAAGAUUAAAUUACCUUAGGGAUAACAGCGUAAUUCUUUUGGAGAGUUCAUAUCGAUGAAGGAGAUUGCGACCUCGAUGUUGGAUUAAAAUUAGUGUUAGGUGUAGCAGCUUGAUAACUUGGUCUGUUCGACCAUUGAAUUUUUACAUGAUCUGAGUUCAGACCGGCGUGAGCCAGGUUGGUUUCUAUCCUCAAAUUAUUUAUUAUUUUAGUACGAAAGGACCGAAUAAUAGGAAUAAUUCUUUAAUUUAUUGGAUAAUGC
rnacentral:rRNA from 1 species